UACGUAGGGUGCAAGCGUUAAUCGGAAUUACUGGGCGUAAAGCGUGCGCAGGCGGUUAUGUAAGACAGAUGUGAAAUCCCCGGGCUCAACCUGGGAACUGCAUUUGUGACUGCAUAGCUUGAGUGCGGCAGAGGGGGAUGGAAUUCCGCGUGUAGCAGUGAAAUGCGUAGAUAUGCGGAGGAACACCGAUGGCGAAGGCAAUCCCCUGGGCCUGCACUGACGCUCAUGCACGAAAGCGUGGGGAGCAAAAGGG
rnacentral:rRNA from 1 species